UAGCCGUAUCGGAAGGUGCGGCUGGAUCACCUCCUU
rnacentral:rRNA from 3 species